rnacentral:rRNA from 1 species
GACGAACGCUGGCGGCAUGCCUAAUACAUGCAAGUCGAGCGAACAGAUGAAGUGCUUGCACUUCUGACGUUAGCGGCGAACGGGUGAGUAACACGUAAGGAAUCUACCUAUAAGCGGGGGAUAACAUUCGGAAACGGGUGCUAAUACCGCAUAAUAUCUUCUUCCGCAUGGAAGAAGAUUGAAAGACGGCUCUGCUGUCACUUAUAGAUGACCUUGCGGUGCAUUAGGUAGUUGGUGGGGUAACGGCCUAACAAGACGAUGAUGCAUAGCCGACCUGGGAGGGUGAUCGGCCACAGUGGGCCUGAGACACGGCCCAAACUCCUACGGGAGGCAGCAGUAGGGAAUCUUCCGCAAUGGGCGAAAGCCUGACGGAGCAAUGCCGCGUGAGUGAAGAAGGCCUUCGGGUCGUAAAACUCGGUUAUAAGAGAAGAACAAAUUGUAGAGUAACUGCUACAGUCUUGACGGUAUCUUAUCAGAAAGCCACGGCUGACUACGUGCCAGCAGCCGCCGUAA